GUUGCAGUAAUUCAGUGGUUAAGACCUUGGACUACUGAUCAGAAGGUUGUGAGUUCAAACCCCAGUCCAUAACC